rnacentral:rRNA from 1 species
UACAGAGGGUGCGAGCGUUGUCCGGAAUCACUGGGCGUAAAGGGCGCGUAGGUGGCGCUGCAAGUCGGUGGUGAAAGCUCGUCGCUUAACGGCGAGUCGGCCAUCGAAACUGCGGGGCUGGAGCACUGUAGGGGCAGAUGGAAUUCCGGGUGUAGCGGUGGAAUGCGUAGAGAUCCGGAAGAACACCCGUGGCGAAGGCGGUUCUCUGGGACGGUACUGACGCUGAGACGCGAAAGCGUGGGGAGCGAACAGG